CUACGGGGGGCUGCAGUGGGGAAUAUUGGACAAUGGGCGAAAGCCUGAUCCAGCCAUGCCGCGUGAGUGAUGAAGGCCCUAGGGUUGUAAAGCUCUUUUGUGCGGGAAGAUAAUGACGGUACCGCAAGAAUAAGCCCCGGCUAACUUCGUGCCAGCAGCCGCGGUAAUACGAAGGGGGCUAGCGUUGCUCGGAAUCACUGGGCGUAAAGGGUGCGUAGGCGGGUCUUUAAGUCAGAGGUGAAAUCCUGGAGCUCAACUCCAGAACUGCCUUUGAUACUGAGGAUCUUGAGUUCGGGAGAGGUGAGUGGAACUGCGAGUGUAGAGGUGAAAUUCGUAGAUAUUCGCAAGAACACCAGUGGCGAAGGCGGCUCACUGGCCCGAUACUGACGCUGAGGCACGAAAGCGUGGGGAGCAAACAGGAUUAGAUACCCUCGUAGUC
rnacentral:rRNA from 1 species